rnacentral:lncRNA from 1 species
UAAAAGUCAGGUCGGAUUAAGCCAUAGUACGGAAAAAACUAUGCUACCUGUGAGCCCCGUCCAAGGACGUUAAAAGAAGUCAGGCCAUCACAAAAUGCCACAGCUUGAGCAAACUGUGCAGCCUGUGGCUCCACCUGAGGAGGUGAAAAAACCUGGGAGGCCACAAACCAUGGAAGCUGUACGCAUGGCGUAGUAGACUAGCGGUUAGAGGAGACCCCUCCCUUACAAAUCGCAGCAACAACGGGGGCCCAAGGUGAGAUG